AUGAACGCUGGCGGCGUGUCUAAGGCAUGCAAGUCGAAUGCUCCGCAAGGGGCAUGGCAAACGGGUGCGUAACACAUUGGUAACCUACCUUCGAGUCGGGCAUAACUCCGCGAAAGCGGAAAUAACUCCCGAUGGACAUGAGGGGGCACAAGUCAUUCUCAUGUAAAGUUUAUCGCUCGAAGAGGGGCCUAUGGCCUAUCAGCUUGUUGGUGAGGUAAUGGCUCACCAAGGCAAUGACGGGUAGCGGUUCUGAGAGGAUGAUCCGCCACACUGGUACUGAGACACGGACCAGACUCCUACGGGAGGCAGCAGUGAGGAAUAUUGCACAAUGGGGGGAACCCUGAUGCAGCAACGCCGCGUGGAGGAUGACGCAUUUCGGUGUGUAAACUCCUUUUAUAUGUCAAGAAAAUGACGGUAGCAUAUGAAUAAGCACCGGCUAACUCCGU
rnacentral:rRNA from 1 species